GGAUUAGAUACCCUGGUAGUCCACCCCGUAAACGUUGGGAACUAGUUGUGGGGACCAUUCCACGGUUUCCGUGACGCAGCUAACGCAUUAAGUUCCCCGCCUGGGGAGUACGGCCGCAAGGCUAAAACUCAAAGGAAUUGACGGGGACCCGCACAAGCGGCGGAGCAUGCGGAUUAAUUCGAUGCAACGCGAAGAACCUUACCAAGGCUUGACAUAUACGAGAACGGGCCAGAAAUGGUCAACUCUUUGGACACUCGUAAACAGGUGGUGCAUGGUUGUCGUCAGCUCGUGUCGUGAGAUGUUGGGUUAAGUCCCGCAACGAGCGCAACCCUCGUUCUAUGUUGCCAGCACGUAAUGGUGGGAACUCAUGGGAUACUGCCGGGGUCAACUCGGAGGAAGGUGGGGAUGACGUCAAAUCAUCAUGCCCCUUAUGUCUUGGGCUUCACGCAUGCUACAAUGGCCGGUACAAAGGGCUGCAAUACCGUAAGGUGGAGCGAAUCCCAAAAAGCCGGUCCCAGUUCGGAUUGAGGUCUGCAACUCGACCUCAUGAAGUCGGAGUCGCUAGUAAUCGCAGAUCAGCAACGCUGCGGUGAAUACGUUCCCGGGUCUUGUACACACCGCCCGUCAAGUCAUGAAAGUCGGUAACACCUGAAGCCGGUGGCCCAACCCUUGUGGAGGGAGCCGUCGAAGGUGGGAUCGGUAAUUAGGACUAAGUCGUAACNAGGGUAA
rnacentral:rRNA from 1 species